rnacentral:rRNA from 1 species
AACGAACGCUGGCGGCAUGCCUAACACAUGCAAGUCGAACGAGACCUUCGGGUCUAGUGGCGCACGGGUGCGUAACGCGAGGGAACCUGCCCUUAGGUUCGGAAUAACUCCCCGAAAGGGGUGCUAAUACCGGAUAAUGUCUUCGGACCAAAGAUUUAUUGCCUUUGGAUGGGCCCGCGUUGGAUUAGCUAGUUGGUAGGGUAAAAGCCUCCCAAGGCGACGAUCCAUAGCUGGUCUGAGAGGAUGAUCAGCCACACUGAGACUGAGACACGGCCCAGACUCCUACGGGAGGCAGCAGUGGGGAAUAUUGGACAAUGGGCGAAAGCCUGAUCCAGCACUGCCGCGUGAGUGAUGAAGGCCUUAGGGUUGUAAAGCUCUUUUACCCGGGAUGAUAAUGACAGUACCGGGAGAAUAAGCUCCGGCUAACUCCGUG